rnacentral:rRNA from 1 species
UGGGCGUUAAGUUGCAGGGUAUAGACCCGAAACCCGGUGAUCUAGCCAUGGGCAGGUUGAAGGUUGGGUAACACUAACUGGAGGACCGAACCGACUAAUGUUGAAAAAUUAGCGGAUGACCUGUGGCUGGGGGUGAAAGGCCAAUCAAACCGGGAGAUAGCUGGUUCUCCCCGAAAGCUAUUUAGGUAGCGCCUCGUGAAUUCAUCUCCGGGGGUAGAGCACUGUUUCGGCUAGGGGGCCAUCCCGGCUUACCAACCCGAUGCAAACUGCGAAUACCGGAGAAUGUUAUCACGGGAGACACACGGCGGGUGCUAACGUCCGUCGUGAAGAGGGAAACAACCCAGACCGCCAGCUAAGGUCCCAAAGUCAUGGUUAAGUGGGAAACGAUGUGGGAAGGCCCAGACAGCCAGGAUGUUGGCUUAGAAGCAGCCAUCAUUUAAAGAAAGCGUAAUAGCUCACUGGUCGAGUCGGCCUGCGCGGAAGAUGUAACGGGGCUAAACCAUGCACCGAAGCUGCGGCAGCGACGCUGAUGCGUUGUUGGGUAGGGGAGCGUUCUGUAAGCCUGUGAAGGUGGCCUGUGAGGGUUGCUGGAGGUAUCAGAAGUGCGAAUGCUGACAUA